rnacentral:misc_RNA from 1 species
UGUUUCUCCUCCUUGUCUUUGC